UACGGAGGGGGCUAGCGUUGUUCGGAAUUACUGGGCGUAAAGCGCACGUAGGCGGCUUUGUAAGUUAGAGGUGAAAGCCCGGGGCUCAACUCCGGAAUUGCCUUUAAGACUGCAUCGCUAGAAUUGUGGAGAGGUAAGUGGAAUUCCGAGUGUAGAGGUGAAAUUCGUAGAUAUCGGGAGGAACACCGGUGGCGAAGGCGGCGAUCUGGGUAGAUACUGACGCUGAGGUGCGAAAGCGUGGGGAGCAAACAGG
rnacentral:rRNA from 1 species